rnacentral:rRNA from 1 species
AUCUACGGCCAUACCACGCUGAACACGCCCGAUCUUGUCUGAUCUCUGAAGCUAAGCAGGGUCGGGCCUGCUUAGUACUUGGAUGGGAAAGAAGGACAGACACCUGCAGACC